UACGGAGGGUGCAAGCGUUAUCCGGAUUCACUGGGUUUAAAGGGUGCGUAGGUGGAUUGGAAAGUCAGUGGUGAAAUCUCCGGGCUUAACUGGGAAACUGCCAUUGAUACUAUCAAUCUUGAAUACCGUGGAGGUCAGCGGAAUAUGUCAUGUAGCGGUGAAAUGCAUAGAUAUGACAUAGAAUACCAAUUGCGAAGGCAGCUGGCUAGACGACUAUUGACACUGAGGCACGAAAGCGUGGGUAGCAAACAGG
rnacentral:rRNA from 1 species